AAAAAAAAAAAAAAAAAAAAUAUUCUAAGCGAAAAAGGCAUAAAGAAUAACAAAUGGGAAGACCACAUGAAUAUUAUAAAUCUCCAAAUGGCAGGGCAGCGGUGCAAAAUUGUUGAAAUCACCAUCUUUUGCCCCACACUUACCAAGAAAACAUAGAGAAAUAUUUUCAGUCAUACUACCAACAUAACCAAUUCACAUAAAUAAAAUAUCCCUAAACCAAGAUACAUUGCAACGCCAAUAUGAGGCACAACAUUGCCAAUGGACCAACAUCACAGGAAGCAAGUAUACUUGCCUGCCAGAGAAGGCACAACAUUGAUUCCAUCUGGUUUCGAGCAACAGAGUCGCCAAUGAAAGCUAG
rnacentral:misc_RNA from 1 species